GCACCCCAUCACUAAACUCCAUCAAAUCACUGCCAGUCGGAUAUGCAUUUGGUUUGAACAAGUCCGAGACUGUCGAUGCGGCUAAUCAUAGAAUGGCAUCCAAUACUGUCUCCAAGAAUGGAGAACUGUUGAAUGAGGCUAAUGGCAAUGCUGAUGGAUAUAGUGAGGAAUCCCCUUACAGUAGAUUGAACUUUUCUGUUGAGGAAAGCCUGUCUAGUGGUGAUGAUGAUCUGAGCACCAAUGCAUUCACACCGUCUUGUGUAAAAUCGAAAUGGAGUGACACCACGUCUUAUGUGACAAAAAAGAAGCUUCAUUCAUGGUUUCAAUUAGCUGAUGGGAGCUGGGAGCUGACAACAUUCAUUUCGAAAUCUGGAAAUGAAGUUCUCAUAUCAUUGUCUGAAGGAAAAGUUUUAAAAGUUAAAGCUGAU
rnacentral:misc_RNA from 1 species